UCUCUCAGUUUAUGGGUCAUUAAAUGCUAUCUUUCACUCUAUUUCAUGAUUUACUUGGGAAUGGACAAUUAAGGUUGUUUUUUUUUUCGUUUCAGGAGAUGAAGGUGAAUUGGGCCACCUCCCCUAGUAACACCCCCAAACAAGACACAAGUAAACAUUUUCACAUAUUUGUUGGAGAUUUGAGUCCAGAUAUAGAAACUUCACAGCUAAAGGAAGCUUUCCGAGUAUUUGGUGAAAUCUCUGACUGUAAAAUCAUCCGAGAUCCUCAAACGUUGAAAUCCAAGGGCUAUGGUUUUGUGUCGUACGUCAACAAAGUGGAUGCAGAGACAGCCAUUAGUAACAUGAAUGGACAGUGGCUGGGCAGUCGACCAAUCAGAACUAACUGGGCCACUCGAAAACCUCCCGCCCCCGUGCCUAAAGAAUCCCAGAUAAAGCAGCUGUCCUAUGAAGAAGUCUACAGUUUAUCCAGUUCCACUAACUGUACCGUGUACUGUGGGGGUAUUGGACCCGGAGUCACAGAAGAAGCAAUAAAGAGUGCGUUUAACACCUAUGGGACAAUUCAAGAAAUCCGAGUGUUCAAGGAAAAGGGAUAUGCAUUUAUCAGAUUUUCAAAUAAAGAGUCAGCUACAAAGGCUAUUUGUGGAGUAAACGGAACAGUGAUCGGAGAGAACAUGGUCAAGUGUUCGUGGGGGAAGGAGUCUAAUGACCCUAACCAGUCAGGGGGAGGGGCAGGUUCCCCCUCUCAAAUGUCUCAGUCUGGGUCCCAGGGCCCCUCCCAGUAUGGGGGUCAGUAUUACAACAUGGGCUACGGUUAUCAGCCCGCCUACCCCUCCUACAUGCCCCAGCAGCAGUAUAUGCCCCAGGGCUAUGGCUACGGCAACAGCGGGUAUCAGAUGCAGGGAAUGCAGCCUUAUGGAAUGGUUCCACCAGGAACACAGCAGCAGUUUCCUGGUCAGGGAGGCAUGAUGGGAUAUCCCAUGCAGCAAGGAUUGGGUAGCGUGAUGGCAUUAAGUUAUGUCAAGUCCAGCCCCUGAACACCCAGCGACAUGCCAGGGAGUGAAAGUUUGAUGGAGAAAGCCAGCGGAAUAUCAUUGAGACCUAGCAAGCUCCAAACAUCUUUGGCUGUUAGAACAGUUUUAUUUGUAAGAAUGUGAUUGGUGCAUUCCUGGUUUCCAUGGAGAUGGACACCUUCUCUGUAGAAAAUCAUUUAAAUGAUGAAAAUAAUUGUACAGAUAUAAUUAUGUACUUGUAAAUAUUUGAUAGUGGAUGGAGUCUACAAAAGCUAGACCUAGAUCAUUGUCUGUUCUUUUAUCUGGGUCACACCCAAUUUGCUCAUGUUGAGGAAAUGGAGUUAAAUCUCAUGGUGGCCAUUUUUUACAGACAUACAACGAAAAAGAUUCAAUCUGUAUCUGUUCUUGCUAGACGUGUUAAUUAUAGACAAUUUAGGAGGGAUAUUGUGGGUACAUGUGCACCUAAACAGACAAAUUUUACAAGCACUCAAGCUUGGUUCUCCAUUGAUUAGAGUUUAUUUACUCCUUGGCAUUGUGUUAAAUUAUAUAAUGUUGAUCUUAAGUUAUUUUCUUUUCUUGUAAUACAUGUACUAUUUAAAAUUGUCAAUUUUCUUUAAGUUUUUUUCUAGAAUUAUCCUGAAGAUGUGUAUUUUGUAUUUCAAUUUAAAACUUAUUUUUAGUUGCUAAAUUUAGGACUUGAUGAAUAAUUUAACGCAAAAUUGUCAUUGAUUGAGAAUGAACAUAAAUUAUUUUGAAAGAAAACAUUUAUAUUUUAUUAGACUUAUGUAAAUGAAUUCAGAAUUUUAGACCUGUUCAAUCUACUGUUUUUAAUGUGGUCCCAAGACUAAAACAGUUUUAUUUAUUGUCUCACUGCAAUUUCGCUGUGUUCAGUCUAGAAUUUUUUUUUUGUUAGAAAUUUUAAUUUUCCUUGAUAAGAAAUAUAUUUUAGAAACUAAGCUUUUGUUGUGUAAUUUCAUUGAGAAAUUGGAUGAAUGUUAUUUUUGUUAGAAAAAAAAAUUAAGUAGAAAAUAUAUUUGUUAGUGCCAACUGAAACUUUUGACCUCUCGUUUUGUAUAGUUAGAUAAUUUAAACCCUGUUAUCAGAACUCUGGUAGAUAUAUGUUCAGCUAUUGGAUUAUUUGAGGCGAGUAAUUGCAUUCCAGUUUUUUUUUUCCAGUGAAAACCGAAAGAAUGAUUGUGUAAACAUGUCUCAAUUAGGUAAACCCCUCUAAAUGGGGAGGAAAGUAGUGUCUUUUAUGUUAUAUGGCUGUGGAGGGUAAUUCAGGCCUUGUAAAUAGUAAUCAUCAUUUUUAGCUUGUGAAUUCUCGUAGUUUUGACAGAGAAGAGUUUGUGUCCAUUCUCGUGCUGAUCUUAGGAUCCUCCAUUAUGUCAUGUACCUGUCACCGUGUCCUGGAGUAGAGUAUCAUCAUGUUAAGAAUAUUAUUGUAAUUAUUCUUUACUUGUCCAUUGUAUAUUUUGUGUAAUGAUAAUUUAUUAAGCUGUUAGAAAUAUACCAGCGUCAGGAAUCACUGCUUGUUAUUACAUCUCCAGAGUUGUGGUCACCCUAUCCAUAUGUCUAUCAGAUAUAUAUACCAUGCAAUAAGAAGUUGGACUAUGAUCAUUUUGAAUGUUUUAGGUUUUGAAAUGUUACAAAAAUUUAUAUUUUUAUACAGCAUUUCAGGCAGAAAUACAUUGAUUUUUUUAAUAGAAGGAUAUUGAUUUUAUUUGUUUUGUGAAAUGGUUAAUACUGAGAGCUGUGUUUGCAGUCCAUAGGAGAAAGACCAUCAUAUCUGGUGGUGUACCAUACAUAGAAAGUCAUACAUUAUUGUAUAUAUUGUAUUUAUUUAAGACUGAACCAUCUUAUAAACUGACAGAUCAGUGUCAGUCAGAUGCCUUAAGCUUUUACCAUAAUUGUCCAUGGAUGUAAACACAGCUGCAUACAUCAUCUUGUCUUGUCAUGUGACCUGCUGUAAUCAUCAUGCCAUGAAUAAAAACAUCCAUCAUCUAGA